rnacentral:lncRNA from 1 species
UUGAAAGAACAAUAUUAAACUUGUUACUAAAUUGUUUUUGUUUUGUCUUUUGGUAGUCUUGGUGAUGAGAUCGGACCUGAAGUCAGCUGCUGAAGAUUCUGAAGAUGGUUCCUAGGAGCAGGUGAAGAUAUCCACAGAGCCUCUUUGUUUACAGCCUCUUCAGCACUCUCCAGAAUCUCUGUACCUGUAGGGAUACCAGCUUACCUGUUUUCAUCCAGUGGGAAGGAAACUCUGCAAGGAAGCCGUGACCGGAGCACGCGGUGCAGGACCCCUGACUGUGCUUUCCGUGUAAGCACAGAAAUCCUACAGCGGCCUUCCUAAAAAGUGUCCUUUGAGUAUCAGAGUCAGUCGCUGUAAAAAGACAAACUGGAUCACUUUUCAAAGCUGCCAGCUGGAAUCUUAACUGGAAAUUCUGCAGAAAUACCUGUUAAUGUUUCCAGUGUUCAUGACCUUAAAAAAAUAAAAAAUAAAAAAAAUUGCUGGAUCAUUCAUUCUUAAAAAAUUAUUAUUAUAACUGUAUUGUUUUAGUGAUGUGAAGGUUCAUUUCCUAUUUCUUGUGAUUUAUGGUUCUACGUCUUUAGGAAUGGUAGCCAUUCUCCACAGGCAAACUGUAUAAUGAAAGGAAAGGAGUAAAAGACAGUCAUCCCAUAUCCCAUGGAGUUGCUUUUAUCUGUGAAGAAUUCCC